rnacentral:rRNA from 1 species
UAGCCGACGAGCAGCAAGUAAGAGCUUGCUCUUAUGGGUGGCGAGUGGCGGACGGGUGAGGAAUACAUCGGAAUCUACCUUUUCGUGGGGGAUAACGUAGGGAAACUUACGCUAAUACCGCAUACGACCUUCGGGUGAAAGCAGGGGACCUUCGGGCCUUGCGCGGAUAGAUGAGCCGAUGUCGGAUUAGCUAGUUGGCGGGGUAAAGGCCCACCAAGGCGACGAUCCGUAGCUGGUCUGAGAGGAUGAUCAGCCACACUGGAACUGAGACACGGUCCAGACUCCUACGGGAGGCAGCAGUGGGGAAUAUUGGACAAUGGGCGCAAGCCUGAUCCAGCCAUACCGCGUGGGUGAAGAAGGCCUUCGGGUUGUAAAGCCCUUUUGUUGGGAAAGAAAAGCAAUCGAUUAAUACUCGGUUGUUCUGACGGUACCCAAAGAAUAAGCACCGGCUAACUUCGUGCCAGCAGCCGCGGUAAUACGAAAGGGUGCAAGCGUUACUCGGAAUUACUGGGCGUAAAGCGUGCGUAGGUGGUUGUUUAAGUCUGUUGUGAAAGCCCUGGGCUCAACCUGGGAAUUGCAGUGGAUACUGGGGCAACUAGAGUGUGGUAGAGGGUAGUGGAAUUCCCGCUGUAGCAGUGAAUUGCGUAAAGAUCGGGAGGAACAUCCAUGGCGAAGGCAGCUAGCUGGACCAACACUGACACUGAAGCACGAAAGCGUGGGGA